AGUGGCUCAUUCACCUUCUUAUGUCAGCCCCUUAGGGACGCGCUACAUAAACUUCGAAUGACGCACAACAAGGUGCCUGCCGUCCAACUUCUGAUAACAGCGUAGCUUUAUCAACCUCCGGGCGAAACGUCGAGUUAGGCACCGCCUUAUUCCAUAACAAAGCCGGGUUUAGCCCGGCUUUGUU
rnacentral:sRNA from 1 species